GCCGCGGUAAUUCCAGCUCCAAUAGCGUAUAUUAACGUUGUUGCAGUUAAAAAGCUCGUAGUUGAAGUGUGGGUGAUCGCUAUUGUGAGACUUCGGUCUCUCGACAGUAAGUCACCCCCUUCCAGUAUCCAGUAGUGGGUAUUCAGUUACUUACUAUUGUGUGUUGGUCCUUUACUGUGAGAAAAUUAGAGUGUUCAAAGCAGGCGUUUGCUUGAAUAGAUUAGCAUGGAAUAAUAAUUGAAGGCUUUCGUGUUCGAUUUGAUUGGUUUGUUCAUGGAAGCAAGGUUAAAAGGAACAGUUGGGGGUAUUCAUAUUCACUAGUUAGAGGUGAAAUUCUCGGAUUUAUGGAAGAUGAACAAGUGCGAAAGCAUUUACCAAGGAUGUUUUCAUUAAUCAAGAACGAAGG
rnacentral:rRNA from 1 species